rnacentral:tRNA from 1 species
GGGCGGUUAGCUCAGGGGCAGAGCGCCUGCCUUACAAGCAGGAGGUCGGAGGUUCAAUUCCUCCACCGCCCACCA